rnacentral:rRNA from 1 species
AGCGUACACGGUGGAUGCCCUGGCAGUCAGAGGCGAUGAAGGACGUGCUAAUCUGCGAUAAGCGUCGGUAAGGUGAUAUGAACCGUUAUAACCGGCGAUUUCCGAAUGGGGAAACCCAGUGUGAUUCGUCACACUAUCAUUAACUGAAUCCAUAGGUUAAUGAGGCGAACCGGGGGAACUGAAACAUCUAAGUACCCCGAGGAAAAGAAAUCAACCGAGAUUCCCCCAGUAGCGGCGAGCGAACGGGGAGCAGCCCAGAGCCUGAAUCAGUGUGUGUGUUAGUGGAAGCGUCUGGAAAGGCGCGCGAUACAGGGUGACAGCCCCGUACACAAAAAUGCACAUACUGUGAGCUCGAUGAGUAGGGCGGGACACGUGGUAUCCUGUCUGAAUAUGGGGGGACCAUCCUCCAAGGCUAAAUACUCCUGACUGACCGAUAGUGAACCAGUACCGUGAGGGAAAGGCGAAAAGAACCCCGGCGAGGGGAGUGAAAAAGAACCUGAAACCGUGUACGUACAAGCAGUGGGAGCACAGAGCAAUCUGUGUGACUGCGUACCUUUUGUAUAAUGGGUCAGCGACUUAUAUUCUGUAGCAAGGUUAACCGAAUAGGGGAGCCGAAGGGAAACCGAGUCUUAACUGGGCGUUAAGUUGCAGGGUAUAGACCCGAAACCCGGUGAUCUAGCCAUGGGCAGGUUGAAGGUUGGGUAACACUAACUGGAGGACCGAACCGACUAAUGUUGAAAAAUUAGCGGAUGACUUGUGGCUGGGGGUGAAAGGCCAAUCAAACCGGGAGAUAGCUGGUUCUCCCCGAAAGCUAUUUAGGUAGCGCCUCGUGAAUUCAUCUCCGGGGGUAGAGCACUGUUUCGGCAAGGGGGUCAUCCCGACUUACCAACCCGAUGCAAACUGCGAAUACCGGAGAAUGUUAUCACGGGAGACACACGGCGGGUGCUAACGUCCGUCGUGAAGAGGGAAACAACCCAGACCGCCAGCUAAGGUCCCAAAGUCAUGGUUAAGUGGGAAACGAUGUGGGAAGGCCCAGACAGCCAGGAUGUUGGCUUAGAAGCAGCCAUCAUUUAAAGAAAGCGUAAUAGCUCACUGGUCGAGUCGGCCUGCGCGGAAGAUGUAACGGGGCUAAACCAUGCACCGAAGCUGCGGCAGCGACGCUGAUGCGUUGUUGGGUAGGGGAGCGUUCUGUAAGCCUGUGAAGGUGUACUGUGAGGUAUGCUGGAGGUAUCAGAAGUGCGAAUGCUGACAUAAGUAACGAUAAAGCGGGUGAAAAGCCCGCUCGCCGGAAGACCAAGGGUUCCUGUCCAACGUUAAUCGGGGCAGGGUGAGUCGACCCCUAAGGCGAGGCCGAAAGGCGUAGUCGAUGGGAAACAGGUUAAUAUUCCUGUACUUGGUGUUACUGCGAAGGGGGGACGGAGAAGGCUAUGUUGGCCGGGCGACGGUUGUCCCGGUUUAAGCGUGUAGGCUGGUUUUCCAGGCAAAUCCGGAAAAUCAAGGCUGAGGCGUGAUGACGAGGCACUACGGUGCUGAAGCAACAAAUGCCCUGCUUCCAGGAAAAGCCUCUAAGCAUCAGGUAACAUCAAAUCGUACCCCAAACCGACACAGGUGGUCAGGUAGAGAAUACCAAGGCGCUUGAGAGAACUCGGGUGAAGGAACUAGGCAAAAUGGUGCCGUAACUUCGGGAGAAGGCACGCUGAUAUGUAGGUGAAGCGACUUGCUCGUGGAGCUGAAAUCAGUCGAAGAUACCAGCUGGCUGCAACUGUUUAUUAAAAACACAGCACUGUGCAAACACGAAAGUGGACGUAUACGGUGUGACGCCUGCCCGGUGCCGGAAGGUUAAUUGAUGGGGUUAGCGCAAGCGAAGCUCUUGAUCGAAGCCCCGGUAAACGGCGGCCGUAACUAUAACGGUCCUAAGGUAGCGAAAUUCCUUGUCGGGUAAGUUCCGACCUGCACGAAUGGCGUAAUGAUGGCCAGGCUGUCUCCACCCGAGACUCAGUGAAAUUGAACUCGCUGUGAAGAUGCAGUGUACCCGCGGCAAGACGGAAAGACCCCGUGAACCUUUACUAUAGCUUGACACUGAACAUUGAGCCUUGAUGUGUAGGAUAGGUGGGAGGCUUUGAAGUGUGGACGCCAGUCUGCAUGGAGCCGACCUUGAAAUACCACCCUUUAAUGUUUGAUGUUCUAACGUUGACCCGUGAUCCGGGUUGCGGACAGUGUCUGGUGGGUAGUUUGACUGGGGCGGUCUCCUCCUAAAGAGUAACGGAGGAGCACGAAGGUUGGCUAAUCCUGGUCGGACAUCAGGAGGUUAGUGCAAUGGCAUAAGCCAGCUUGACUGCGAGCGUGACGGCGCGAGCAGGUGCGAAAGCAGGUCAUAGUGAUCCGGUGGUUCUGAAUGGAAGGGCCAUCGCUCAACGGAUAAAAGGUACUCCGGGGAUAACAGGCUGAUACCGCCCAAGAGUUCAUAUCGACGGCGGUGUUUGGCACCUCGAUGUCGGCUCAUCACAUCCUGGGGCUGAAGUAGGUCCCAAGGGUAUGGCUGUUCGCCAUUUAAAGUGGUACGCGAGCUGGGUUUAGAACGUCGUGAGACAGUUCGGUCCCUAUCUGCCGUGGGCGCUGGAGAAUUGAGGGGGGCUGCUCCUAGUACGAGAGGACCGGAGUGGACGCAUCACUGGUGUUCGGGUUGUCAUGCCAAUGGCACUGCCCGGUAGCUAAAUGCGGAAGAGAUAAGUGCUGAAAGCAUCUAAGCACGAAACUUGCCCCGAGAUGAGUUCUCCCUGACUCCUUGA